rnacentral:rRNA from 2 species
UGAAACUCAAAGGAAUUGACGGGGGACCCGCACAAGCGGUGGAACAUGUGGUUUAAUUCGAAGCAAACGCGAAGAACCUUACCAGGCCCUUGAACAUCCCGGUGAACCGUCCCGUAAUGGGGACCUCUCUUCGGAGCACCGGUGACAGGUGGUGCAUGGUUGUAGUCAGCUCGUGUCCGUGAGAUGUUGGGUUAAGUCCCGCAACGAGCGCAACCCCUAUGUUCAGUAGCCAGCAGGUAAGGCUGGGCACUCUGGACAGACUGCCGGGGAUAACCCGGAGGAAGGCGGGGAUGACGUCAAAUCAUCAUGCCCCUUACGGCCUGGGCUACACACGUGCUACAAUGGCGUAAACAAAGGGAAGCGAGAGGGUGACCUGGAGCGAAUCCCAAAAAUAACGUCCCAGUUCGGACUGUAGUCUGCAACCCGACUACACGAAGCUGGAAUCGCUAGUAAUCGCGAAUCAGCAUGUCGCGGUGAAUACGUUCCCGGGUCUUGUACACACCGCCCGUCACACCAUGGGAGUUGGAAAUGCCCGAAGUCAGUGACCUAACCGCAAGGGAGGAGCUGCCGAAGGUGGAGCCGAUGACUGGGGUGAAGUCGUAACAAGGUAACCAGUAACAAGGUAACCCUCUAGAGUUUGAUCCUGGCUCAGAAGUCGUAACAGGGUAC